UUUUCCCAAAACCAAAGUGGUUUUGUUUAAUUCACAACAUUAAGAACGUGUUUACUGUGACUGAAAAGUGACGGCGAGGGGUCUGACAGAGCGUCAGUAUAUGACGAGUUGGGAUGACAACGUGUUGCCAUGGCAGCACGCGUUGCUGUCCACAACGGUGUCUGGCGAGCCCGAGUUGGAGCAUUUCAAAUUCUUCACAUUGUGGCUUUAACUCGUAGGUUCUCUGGAGAUAUCAGGAGUAGCUUUGUGGUCGUCAGGAACUCGAUGUCUCAUUCUAUCGAGUUACUUCAUGGUGUGUCCAUGUGGGUCGUAUUUUUGAAAGAAAGGUGUCCCAGAAGACGAAGAGAGAAGACCUACAUAAUGUUACUAAAUCUUUAUAUUACAGUUUCUUGUUCUAGCAGUCUUAAAGAAUCAUGUUUUACUGUGUCUUCAGAAUACUAGAUUAUGUUAAAGACGUAUUCGUAACCACAUUCAUGUUCUCAGUCUGGUUCAGUUCCCUGUUUCCUCACAGAGGUUUUGGGGUUUGUGUUGCCUUACAUACAUUCUGUACCUGCCCCCCCCCCACACAGCGGAGAGCGCAGAGACGUUUGAACCAGAUACAAUUUGGCGUUUGAAACCUUCCUCUGGUGUUGAUUUGUAGACGUAGCCUGCUCUAGUUCUAGGGAACUGGUCACCAUGCCUUCUUCUUCUGUGUAUGAUUUCAGACGUGUGCUGUUCCGACCUAAUUAACAUACUAUACUUUAAGUUUUUUGUACUAUUUUUUUGACAUGCUAUGUAAUGACUUGUGAAAUAGCUCAGUGUGUAGAUAUCUGUUUGGAAUACUGGAGGUUGUGGGUUUGAUCCUUAUGUGACACAGUCUGUUUUCAGGUCUAACUUCUAAUGACCAAGUCAAAUAUACCAAGAGAACAGUCCUCAGUGUGGCAUUGGUGGCUUGGCUGCUAAGUUCCCGGUUCUGGCUGCGGCAGAGUGGGGUUCCAUCCCCACCCUCACAUCGAUGCCCGGUGCCUGACAGUGGAGUGAGACGAGCGUCUCCUCCCAGGGUUUACCAGAGAUAACACUGGGGGGUUAUGCAACAGGAACUGUAGUAAAUUUUACUUUACUGUGGUAGUAAUGUUUCACGUUAGGGUUGUAUAUAAUAUAGGGUUAGGGUUCUGAGCACCUGGUUGUGGCGCCAGCAGCAACGUCCAUCAGCCAAGGCUUUAGGGCUGCUG